rnacentral:rRNA from 1 species
GGCCUUGACAUACUAAGAACUUUCCAGAGAUGGAUUGGUGCCUUCGGGAACUUAGAUACAGGUGCUGCAUGGCUGUCGUCAGCUCGUGUCGUGAGAUGUUGGGUUAACGUCCGCAACGAGCGCAACCCUUUUCCUUAUUUGCCAGCGGGUAAUGCCGGGAACUUUAAGGAUACUGCCAGUGACAAACUGGAGGAAGGCGGGGACGACGUCAAGUCAUCAUGGCCCUUACGGCCAGGGCUACACACGUGCUACAAUGGUCGGUACAAAGGGUUGCUACCUCGCUAGAGGAUGCUAAUCUCAAAAAGCCGAUCGUAGUCCGGAUCACAGUCUGCAACUCGACUGCGUGAAGUCGGAAUCGCUAGUAAUCGCGGAUCAGAAUGCCGCGGUGAAUACGUUCCCGGGCCUUGUACACACCGCCCGUCACACCAUGGGAGUUUGUUGCACCAGAAGUAGGUAGUCUAACCGCAAGGAGGACGCUUACCACGGUGUGGCCGAUGACUGGGGUGAAGUCGUAACAAGGUAGGCGUAGAUGA